rnacentral:rRNA from 1 species
CACGUAGUUAGCCGGGGCUUCUUAGUCAGGUACCGUCAUUUUCUUCCCUGCUGAUAGAAGUUUACAUACCGAAAUACUUCUUCCUUCACGCGGCGUCGCUGCAUCAGGGUUUCCCCCAUUGUGCAAUAUUCCCCACUGCUGCCUCCCGUAGGAGUUUGGGCCGUGUCUCAGUCCCAAUGUGGCCGUUCACCCUCUCAGGCCGGCUACUGAUCGUCGCCUUGGUGAGCCCUUACCUCGCCAACCAGCUAAUCAGACGCGGGUCCAUCUCAUACCACCGGAGUUUUUCACACCGUCCCAUGCGAGACCGUGCGCUUAUGCGGUAUUAGCAGUCAUUUCUAACUGUUAUCCCCCUGUAUGAGGCAGGUUACCCACGCGUUACUCACCCGUCCGCCACUCAGUCAAAUAAGACUUCAAACCGAAGUAAUCCGUCUUAAGUGCUUCGUUCGACUUGCAUGUGUUAAGCACGCCGCCAGCGUUCAUCCUGAGCCAGGAUCAAACUCU